CCACGCCCUAAACGAUGAAUGCUAGUUGUUGCCCUGCUUGUCAGGGCAGUAAUGCAGCUAACGCAUUAAGCAUUCCGCCUGGGGAGUACGGUCGCAAGAUUAAAACUCAAAGGAAUAGACGGGGACCCGCACAAGCGGUGGAGCAUGUGGUUUAAUUCGUGGCUACGCGAAGAACCUUACCAGGGCUUGACAUAUACAUGAUAGAACCUAGAGAUAGGGGAAAGGAUGGAACUUGUUCCAUACAUGUAUACAGGUGGUGCAUGGUUGU
rnacentral:rRNA from 1 species